AGCCGCGGCCGCUGCAAAAAGUUGUCAGUGAUAAAAUCAGUACAUGAAUGCUCAUACACCACUGCACUCCCUGAGCUGAUGAGUUCGAGUGCAGUGCAGUGGGACUCAACUACUCUGGACUCAACUGAUUUCUGCUAAGCAGGUUACAUUGAUGUGACACAACUCCCCAGUCAAAACCGUAACGUCUUUGUCUGAUAGUGGACUACAGAUGGAUAUUGAUUCUAAUCAAAGCAAGCAUCCUGCAAUGUACGCUUCUAUUUCUGAGCUCACACUACAAAACAAUAAGCAUACUUCAGAUUCUGGAAGCAAUAGCACCAAGAUGGUACGAGUGAUUGGUAAACUGGCUUCAUAUGACGUUUCAUCUAGCAGGCUACUAAUACAAGACUGCACCCUUCCUUCCAACACUCUACUAUUGGAUACAUCAAGAAUUGAACCGUUUACUCAUAGAGAAAAUGCCUUGUGUCUUUUUAUUGGUGAAUUAGAUAGAGAAAACAUUGAAACAGUAGUGUUGAAAGUAUUAUUGUAUAGGUGUGUUAACCAGUUAAGUAUAGAGACAUAUAAUAAGGCCCAUUCCAUUAGAAUGGGGAGUAUACAUUAGUGAUGAAUCCAUUAACCGCCAUGACACUGACACAUUAAUUUUUUGCAAAAAUUAUGAAUUAUAUAAAUUAUUAUGAAUUAUAUAAUUCUGUGAUUGAAAAUA